rnacentral:rRNA from 1 species
CACGUAGAAGACUAGUGUUAUUCAUCUUUAUUAGGUUUAAAGGGUACCUAGACGGAAAAUCAAGCCAUAAUAGGGACUAAUUUUCUAGAGUUUUAUGAGAGAAGGGGCGAAUUUUCCGGAGGAAAGUUGAUAUUUUGUGAUACUGGAAGGACGGGUAACGGCGAAGGCAACCUUUUAUGUAAAAACUGACGUUGAGGGACGAAGCCUUGGGUAACGAGAAGG